UACGGAGGGGGCGAGCGUUGUUCGGAAUCAUUGGGCGUAAAGGGCGCGUAGGCGGCCUGCCAAGUCGGAUGUGAAAUCCCUCGGCUCAACCGAGGAACUGCACUCGAUACUGGCAGGCUAGAGUCCGGAAGGGGAUGGUGGAAUUCCCAGUGUAGCGGUGAAAUGCGUAGAUAUUGGGAAGAACACCGGUGGCGAAGGCGGCCAUCUGGACCGGCACUGACGCUGAGGCGCGAAAGCCAGGGGAGCGAAUGGG
rnacentral:rRNA from 1 species